AGCGAACCCAGCCAAGCUCCCCGAUCUCCUGUCUUCUUUCUCUUUCUCUCCUUCUGUCUCCUUCUCUUUCUCUUGUUCGUUCUCUCACUCACUCUUCCAUUUUUUGCCACUGUGCCAGUUAAUUUAAAUGUAUCUGUUCAAGUGGAGAUAAUCCAUGCAAAUCAGAGUCACUGGCUCCCAGUGCUUGAUUCACAAAGAGAACUCAGCUUCAGGAGGUCACUCGUUCACAGCUGCUCCUCCCAUUAUAUUUUUCCCUUAUUGCAGAACUGCUGCAUGUAUACAGUGACUGAAAGGACUCAAUUUACUGCAACUGCUGCCUGGUUUUACUUACAACUUUCUGUAAAGGGAGACUUACCUUCUGUCUGUCUUGUUAAGUAUCGGGCAAGGUCUUAAUACAAAGUCUCUGAUCGUCAGAUGCAAUCUUCAAUCAAGUUUAUUUUUUUAAUGUUUUCUAAUCUAUGUUAGAGUGCCUAUAUAAAUAGGACCUGAUGAAAUCACAGUAGACCGAAAGCUCUGAAACACAACAGAAAUGAGACACAAAUUUAGUAAAGCAAACUGGACAGAAAGAGGGGGACAGAAAAAAAGCCUUCCUUACUUUCUUGAAUAAUAUUGAAGAUACAAAUCUUCAGUUUCAUCUUUGGGGAAUGGACACUUUUAGGCUUCAGAAAAUGUAUUUGCUACCCACAUUAUCUCAGUGCCUAAAAUAUGCAUCUUUUCUCUUUGAUAUACAGUCUGCUUUUGUAAAAAAUGUAUUCUGAUUUUGGAGCAUAGUACAAACCAAGGGAGCCUUGUCAUUGUUAGCAUAAAGAAGACAUCUACACAAGUAUUACUGUGCAGAGGGCAAUCUUUCUUUCUCUGGCAUUUGUUAGGUUACUGUACAUAGAAUUUAGCAGAUAAAUAUCUUCUGCUUCCUGGCAUUUUAGUGAUCCUAUUGGUAUGCAGACUGGUCUACUAG